rnacentral:rRNA from 1 species
UACGUAGGGUGCAAGCGUUAAUCGGAAUUACUGGGCGUAAAGCGUGCGCAGGCGGCUUUGCAAGACAGAUGUGAAAUCCCCGGGCUCAACCUGGGAACUGCAUUUGUGACUGCAAGGCUAGAGUACGGCAGAGGGGGAUGGAAUUCCGCGUGUAGCAGUGAAAUGCGUAGAUAUGCGGAGGAACACCAAUGGCGAAGGCAAUCCCCUGGGCCAAUACUGACGCUCAUGCACGAAAGCGUGGGGAGCAAACAGG